UAGUUCAGUCGGUAGAACGGCGGACUGUUAAUCCGUAUGUCACUGGUUCGAGUCCAGUCAGAGGAGCCA
rnacentral:tRNA from 12 species